AACGAACGCUGGCGGCAUGCCUAACACAUGCAAGUCGAACGCGUGUAGCAAUACACGAGUGGCGGACGGGUGAGUAACGCGUGGGAACCUGCCCAGUGGUAGGGAAUAACUGCGGGAAACUGCAGCUAAUACCCUAUACGCCCUUUGGGGAAAGAUUCAUCGCCAUUGGAGGGGCCCGCGUCGGAUUAGCUAGUUGGCGGGGUAACGGCCCACCAAGGCAACGAUCCGUAGCUGGCUGAGAGGAUGAUCAGCCACACUGGGACUGAGAUACGGCCCAGACUCCUACGGGAGGCAGCAGUGGGGAAUAUUGGACAAUGGGGAAACCUGAUCCAGCAAUGCCGCGUGAGUGAAGAAGGCCUU
rnacentral:rRNA from 1 species